rnacentral:lncRNA from 1 species
UGGAGGGAGAAAGGAGGACCUGCUGGAGCUUGUGAAGGGACUGGUACUGUGGAAUGAUGCCCACAAGAUCUCCAAGACUCAGAGUGGCCACAUGAUAUCCCAGAAGAGUUCUGGUGAGGAUCCAGUGAUAAUGGUGUACCAGAAACGGAGGCCUUGAUUCAGACCAGUGACUCACCUCAAUGAACAUUUGCCAGUCAAGCUGAU